rnacentral:rRNA from 1 species
CACGGACCAAGGAGUUUAUCGUGUACGCAAGUCAUUGGGUAAAUGAAACCCAUAGGCGAAAUGAAAGUAAAGAGUAGUGUUAUUUGGAUUUAUUCCUUUUAGCUCUCUUUAAGGGAAGAUAGAAAUCUUGUAAAUAAAAAUAUUUUUUAUUCUAUAGAAGAUAUUUGUUUAUAUAGAUUUCUGGCAUUCCCGGGGCGCUUUGUUUUACGCUUUGCGUAUCGAUGCGCACCUAGAGCGUACACGCUGAUACCCGAAAGAUGGUGAACUAUGCCUGGCCAGGACGAAGCCAGGGGAAACCCUGGUGGAGGUCCGCAGCGAUUCUGACGUGCAAAUCGAUCGUCGGAGCUGGGUAUAGGGGCGAAAGACCAAUCGAACCAUCUAGUAGCUGGUUCCCUCUGAAGUUUCCCUCAGGAUAGCUUGCGCUCGGUUGAGACGAGUCUCAUCCGGUAGAGCGAAUGAUUAGAGGCAUUGGGGUCGAAACGACCUCAACCUAUUCUCAAACUCCAAAUAGAUGAGAACCCCGGCUUUCUUAAAAUUGAAGCCGUGGGAUUCGGAUCAGAGUGCCAAGUGGGCCAAUUUUGGUAAGCAGAACU